GAAGUGCGAAUGCUGACAUAAGUAACGAUAAAGCGGGUGAAAAGCCCGCUCGCCGGAAGACCAAGGGUUCCUGUCCAACGUUAAUCGGGGCAGGGUGAGUCGACCCCUAAGGCGAGGCCGAAAGGCGUAGUCGAUGGGAAACGGGUUAAUAUUCCCGUACUUGGUGUUACUGCGAAGGGGGGACGGAGAAGGCUAUGUUGGCCGGGCGACGGUUGUCCCGGUUUAAGCGUGUAGGUGUGUGUUCCAGGUAAAUCCGGUU
rnacentral:rRNA from 1 species